rnacentral:rRNA from 1 species
UCGGGAAUCUUGCACAAUGGGCGAAAGCCUGAUGCAGCAACGCCGUGUGAGCGACGAAGGCCCUAGGGUCGUAAAGCUCUGUUGUUAGGGACGAAGGGCGAAGGGUUAAUAGCCCUUAGCCUGACGGUACCUAUCGAGGAAGCCCCGGCUAACUACGUGCCAGCAGCCGCGGUAAUACGUAGGGGGCGAGCGUUGUCCGGAAUUAUUGGGCGUAAAGAGCGUGUAGGCGGCUUGGUAAGUCUGCUGUGAAACCUUGGGGCUCAACCCCAAGCGUGCAGUGGAUACUGUCAAGCUAGAGGAUGGUAGAGGCCAGUGGAAUUCCCAGUGUAGCGGUGAAAUGCGCAGAUAUUGGGAGGAACACCAGUAGCGAAGGCGGCUGGCUGGGCCAUUCCUGACGCUGAGACGCGAAAGCUAGGGGAGCGAACAGGAUUAGAUACCCCCGUAGUCC